rnacentral:rRNA from 1 species
GUGGGGAAUAUUGGACAAUGGGCGAAAGCCUGAUCCAGCCAUGCCGCGUGUGUGAAGAAGGUCUUCGGAUUGUAAAGCACUUUAAGUUGGGAGGAAGGGCAGUAAGUUAAUACCUUGCUGUUUUGACGUUACCGACAGAAUAAGCACCGGCUAACUUCGUGCCAGCAGCCGCGGUAAUACGAAGGGUGCAAGCGUUAAUCGGAAUUACUGGGCGUAAAGCGCGCGUAGGUGGUUUUGUAAGUUGGAGGUGAAAUCCCCGGGCUCAACCUGGGAACUGCCUCCAAAACUGCAUGACUAGAGUACGGUAGAGGGUAGUGGAAUUUCCUGUGUAGCGGUGAAAUGCGUAGAUAUAGGAAGGAACACCAGUGGCGAAGGCGACUACCUGGACUGAUACUGACACUGAGGUGCGAAAGCAUGGGGAGCAAACAGGAUUAGAUACCCCAGUAGUCC